CCUCAGUUUCAUUACAUCACACUCAGCAUGCACAAUUAAUGGGCAUUUACUUGGCUAUUAAUAUUCAUUUCUGCAGGCCAACUGUGGAGCAAGAUUAGCUAAUUAGUAUUUGUUUUAUUAAUGUUUCAGCUUUAUUUCAAAUGAAUACAAACAAGAGGUUGACAUAAUAUUGUAAAAAUUUUCACACAAGUUCUUUAUCUUUUAUGGAUAUGCAUAUUUUGCUAAUUAUGAGUCAGUCAGUCUCUCUCUCUAUAUAUAUUAUAUAUACACACACACUUUUUUCAUAUAUAAACAUAUUUUGGAGUUUAGGCCAGCUCCCCAAGUGUGCACCCCUCCCUGACACAUGUGCCUAAUUCCAUGGCCCUGUUUGACAUUGUCCUGUAGAGAGGACAAGGCUCAUGGACCUGAUCCAUUUGCUAAUAUAAUGCUUCAAUGAAUUAUAACAUACAAAAACAAUACACUAAAAAUAUUAAAAUAUAAGAUACAUAUGAAGUUUCUGCAAUUGUUUUCGGUCUACAAGAUUUGCAAUGCCUGAAUGGAGGUCUCAUUAAACCAGAAAGUGAUUGAUGCUCAUUUAACUUAUCAUAAGCAGUGUUUUAUGGGUAUAGCAGGAGUUUAUUGGAGUUGUAUGUCAAUAGCCAUCUUUUUACUACUCUGCUAACAACUUUCCAGAAACCACUAGAUGACUAAAAAAGGCGCUUAAAAAUCAAUUCUGGUAGGGAAAAAAAUAGUUAUUUUAAUUAGCUGCUGUUACACCAUCAAGUUAUCCAUUAAAUAACUAAAUAAUAAUUUUGAGUACUGGAAUUGCACCGUAUAGGAUUGGCACUUUUCAGAAAUAUUUGCACUUUUCAGAAAAAUAAUUGCUGAAACAUUUGAAGAAAUUGAUAGUUGAGAUUGCACUUUAUAAGACUGGUACCUUAAGAAGGUAUUCAAAUAAAUUAGUAAUACAGUCAAAUAAUUCACUAAGUGCUCCACCAUAACAACUUACACAUUAUGGCAUUUUUCAGAAACCAGCAUUUAAUAGCUAUUUGUGUAGUGACAAUUGUGUGAAUAGCAGUUAAGGUCCAUUUCUAUUUUUAUAAAUUUAUGUUUGAUAUUACAAUUUUUUUUUUUUUAUAUAGCGGGCACAAGAGAUCUCAUAUUAUUGACCAGGGACAAAUCCUUGGUGGGUACUAAACCACCUACAUUCUCUAAUCUAGACCCAGAAGUCCUCUAUUACAUAGAAGUGGAUAAUUUUAUUAGUCCUUUUUAGACUCGUCAUAUUUUCACUAUACGGUGAUCAAUGUGUAACUAGAACGUUUCCCUGAGGCUUUCAUUGGCCAGAACAAGAUGGUAGUGGAACCUAUAAGACACCAGAAGCAACCCAGAGCUAGUUUCUAUUGGUUCUGAAAAGAGUGAGUUGGCAAUUUAGGCAUUUUUUUUAAUUUGUAAAGAUGCACAGUAUAGUAUUUAUGUUUAUAUAUUAUUUUUCAUUUUGUUGCUUUUUUUUGUUACUGAUGCCCAACCUCACUUUUCAAUUUUUCCCACUUUCCAGGUUUUAUUUUUAAAUUAUUUUUUUCCACUCCAUUUCUGCCUUUUAAAAAUGUAAUUCACCUUAGCUUUUUAGACACAAGAAAAAGUGGGGACUGUUUUUUCUUAUAGGGACUGUGAUCUUUGGCAAUCCCUCUCCUUGCGGACAGUAAUCAAAGCUCCAUUUUAAUUACCAAGCUAAUUUACCCAUAAUUAGUCAGUCCAAAAAAUCCCCAGAAGGACAAACUGCAAGAGGAGAACAAAAUGGAGUCACCCCGGUAUUGAGAUCUGGCGCAAGAAAGGAAAUAUAUAAAUAAAGGAAAGUGGUGCAAAAGCAUUAAGAUACACAGGGCAUAAGGUAAAGAAAAAUAAAAUAUGAUGGUGCAACUUUAAAUUACCGUAUUUUCCUGUGUAUAAGACGUCCCACAUGUAUAAGACGACCCCUAUUUUUGGAGCCCAAAAUUAAGAAAUCAUUAUUUUAAACAUCAAAUAGAACAAUGAUAUUUUAGAGCUGACUUCUGAGGAGAACAGCACACUUCUGAUUCUCAUGCCUCCCCUGUGCUAUGGUACUCUGUGAUGUUAAUGGCUCUAUAGUGCAUGCUGGGACAUCACAGUAGUAUUUCCUCUGCUCCCUGAUCCCCAUUUCCUCCCCCAUAAAUAUAAAUCAGAAAGCUAGACCUACCUGAGGUGGAGCAAACCUUAAUAUGGCUGCUCCUUUCAUGGUGUGACAUGUCUAUAGAGCUCCGUUGCUGAUGUCUGCUGCAGCUCCCAAGCAUAUUUGGACCUCUUCCUCCCUGCCACAGCAUUCAGAAGUGGAUCAGCGGGAGGGAGGCCAGGUAUGUAUGUGGGCUGUGGCACACACUGAAAUGUGGCAGGUACCAUCUUAAAUUAGGCCCCACGCACAAGUUUUUUUUUUUUACCCCUGCAGUGACAUUCCUUGUA
rnacentral:lncRNA from 1 species